CCUACGGGAGGCAGCAGUAGGGAAUAUUGCUCAAUGGGGGAAACCCUGAAGCAGCAACGCCGCGUGGAGGAUGACGGUUUUAGGAUUGUAAACUCCUUUUGUUAGAGAAGAUUAUGACGGUAUCUAACGAAUAAGCACCGGCUAACCCCGUGCCAGCAUCCGCUGUAAUACGGGGGGUGGAAGCGUUACUCGGAAUGAAUGGGAGUAAAGAGGGCGUAGGCGGGGUAAUAAGUCAGAUGUGAAAUCCUGUAGCUUAACUACAGAACUGCAUUUGAAACUGUUACUCUGGAGUGUGGGAGAGGUAGGUGGAAUGCUUGGUGUAGGGGUAAAAUCCAUAGAGAUCAAGAGGAAUACUCAUUGCGAAGGCGACCUGCUGGAACAUUACUGACGCUGAUGCACGAAAGCGUGGGGAGCAAACAGGAUUAGAUACCCUUGUAGUC
rnacentral:rRNA from 1 species